rnacentral:rRNA from 1 species
UACGUAGGGGGCAAGCGUUGUCCGGAAUCAUUGGGCGUAAAGCGCGCGUAGGCGGCCCGGUAAGUCCGCUGUGAAAGUCAAAGGCUCAACCUUUGAAUGUCAGCGGAUACUGCCGGGCUAGAGUCCGGAAGAGGCGAGUGGAAUUCCUGGUGUAGCGGUGGAAUGCGCAGAUAUCAGGAGGAACACCAACGGCGAAGGCAGCUCGCUGGGACGUUACUGACGCUGAGACGCGAAAGCGUGGGGAGCGAACAGG